rnacentral:ncRNA from 2 species
AAAGUCCACUGCGAUGAAGGAGUAGCAACCCACGUCGCCCCCGAUCCGUGCGCAGGCGUCCGCGAGGACGUCGGCGAAGCGUCGGUAGGGGAGCGUAUAGGCCAGCCAUUGAGCCGCGAAACCGUUAUCAACCCGGUUGCCGACGUUGUUCACUUGACGGAAGGCAAAACCGGCAGGCGCGUUAUUGCGAGCGCCUGUCGGAUCCGGCGUGGUCUGAGACCC